rnacentral:rRNA from 1 species
AGAGUUUGAUCCUGGCUCAGAACGAACGCUGGCGGCGUGGUUAAGACAUGCAAGUCGAACGGACUAUUCAAUUGAGUAAUCGAGAGAAUAGUUAGUGGCGAAAGGGUGAGUAACGGAUAGGUAACGUACCCUGUGCUCCGGAAUAGCGUCGGUUGCUUCGGCAACCUUCCGAAAGGGGCGGUAAUACCGGAUAAUAUCACGUGUCGACAGGCACAUGAUCAAAGAUUUAUCGGCGUGGGAGCGGCCUAUCUCUUAUCAGCUUGUUGGUGAGGUAAUGGCUCACCAAGGCUAUGACGGGUAGCGGGACUGAGAGGUCGUUCCGCCACAUCGGGACUGAGACACUGCCCGGACCUCCACGGAGGGCUGCAGUAACGAAUCUUGCGCAAUGGGCGAAAGCCUGACGCAGCGACGCCGCGUGUGGGAGGAAGUCCCUCGGGAUGUAAACCACUGUCAGGGAGAAGAAAGUACGCCCCGGCGUAUUGAUCUAACCCACAGGAAGUCACGGCUAACUUCGUGCCAGCAGCCGCGGUAAGACGAAGGUGACAAGCGUUGUUCGGUAUUACUGGGCUUAAAGCGUGUGUAGGCGGAAUGGUAAGCGUCUUGUGAAAGCCCCCGGCUUAACCGGGGAAAUGCUUGACGAACUGCCUUUCUUGAGGCAAGUAGGGGUGCACGGAACUCUUGGUGGAGCGGUGAAAUGCGUAGAUAUCAAGAGGAACGCCGGUGGAGAAAUCGGUGCACUGGGCUUGGCCUGACGCUGAGACACGAAAGCGUGGGGAGCGAACGGGAUUAGAUACCCCGGUAGUCCACGCCGUAAACGAUGUCUACUAGGUUGUGGAGGUUCUGACACUUGCACGGCCGAAGCAAAAGUGCUAAGUAGACCGCCUGGGGAGUACGGCCGCAAGGCUAAAACUCAAAGGAAUUGACGGGGGCUCACACAAGCGGUGGAGCAUGUGGAUUAAUUCGAAGCAACGCGUAGAACCUUACCUGGGUUUGACAUGCUUGGAUGCAAUCUUGGAAACAGGGGAUGCUGCCCUUCGGAGUGAAACUUGCACAGGUGCUGCAUGGCUGUCGUCAGCUCGUGUCGUGAGAUGUUGGGUUAAGCCCUUUAACGAGCGAAACCCUUGCCGUUAGUUGCCAGCGGGUUAUGCCGGGGACUCUAACGGGACUGCCGGUGCCAAACCGGAGGAAGGUGGGGAUGACGUCAAGUCAUCAUGGCCUUUAUGCCCAGGGCUUCACACGUGCUACAAUGGCGGCAACAGAGCGACGCGAGACCGUGAGGUGGAGCAAAUCGCAAAAAUGUCGCCUCAGUUCGGAUUGUAGGCUGGCAACUCGCCUGCAUGAAGUCGGAAUCGCUAGUAAUCGCGUAUCAGCAAUGACGCGGUGAAUGUGUUCCUGAGCCUUGUACACACCGCCCGUCAAGUGAUGGGAGUCGGGAGUACCCGAAGUCGGUUUGCCAACCCAGCUUGCUGGGGGGCGGCUGCCGACGGUAAGCCUGAUGACUGGCACUAAGUCGUAACAAGGUAACC